rnacentral:rRNA from 1 species
GAUGAACGCUGGCGGCGUGCCUAAUACAUGCAAGUCGAGCGAACAGACGAGGAGCUUGCUCCUCUGACGUUAGCGGCGGACGGGUGAGUAACACGUGGAUAACCUACCUAUAAGACUGGGAUAACUUCGGGAAACCGGAGCUAAUACCGGAUAAUAUAUUGAACCGCAUGGUUCAAUAGUGAAAGACGGUUUUGCUGUCACUUAUAGAUGGAUCCGCGCCGCAUUAGCUAGUUGGUAAGGUAACGGCUUACCAAGGCAACGAUGCGUAGCCGACCUGAGAGGAUGAUCGGCCACACUGGAACUGAGACACGGCCCAGACUCCUACGGGAGGCAGCAGUAGGGAAUCUUCCGCAAUGGGCGAAAGCUUGACGGAGCAACGCCGCGUGAGUGAUGAAGGUCUUCGGAUCGUAAAACUCUGUUAUUAGGGAAGAACAAAUGUGUAAGUAACUAUGCACGUCUUGACGGUACCUAAUCAGAAAGCCACGGCUAACUACGUG